rnacentral:rRNA from 1 species
CCUACGGGGGGCUGCAGUGGGGAAUAUUGGACAAUGGGGGCAACCCUGAUCCAGCCAUGCCGCGUGUGUGAAGAAGGCCCUCGUGUUGUAAAGCACUUUCAGUGAGGAAGAACGCCUGGUGGUUAAUACCCAUCAGGAAAGACAUCACUCACAGAAGAAGCACCGGCUAACUCCGUGCCAGCAGCCGCGGUAAUACGGAGGGUGCGAGCGUUAAUCGGAAUUACUGGGCGUAAAGCGCGCGUAGGUGGCUUGAUAAGCCGGUUGUGAAAGCCCCGGGCUCAACCUGGGAACGGCAUCCGGAACUGUCAAGCUAGAGUGCAGGAGAGGAAGGUAGAAUUCCCGGUGUAGCGGUGAAAUGCGUAGAGAUCGGGAGGAAUACCAGUGGCGAAGGCGGCCUUCUGGACUGACACUGACACUGAGGUGCGAAAGCGUGGGUAGCAAACAGGAUUAGAUACCCCGGUAGUC